UUCUGGAAAAGAUUCAGGACUUUAAAGUGGGAUGGAGUCAACUGUGAAUGCUUAUGCAGCUGCCGCUUGUGUGACUCUAUCAGAAUGCUGAAACGGAAGCUCCCAUCAAGAUGCCAAGAGAGAACAGAAUCACGUGAAUGCGACACAGACCACACUGGAGGAACUGCCAGCAUAGGGUUUCCUUGGAAACUAGAGAUGCUGGUCCUGUGUGAAUUGGACUUGGAAACAAAUGCAGGGGAGAUGCAAAGCACAUACGUGCACACGUCUCACCAGGACCAAGAGCCACACUUAGCCACAUCUGCUGUGACAACGUUCUGUCUGAUUUCCAAGACCAAGCCUUCCACCACCUUGCGAUAACUCACGGCUGCUGGCCACCAUCCCACUUCCACCAGCAAACUUCAGGUGCUGUAUUUGUCGUAGGAGUUCAUUUAACAUGGGCUACCGUUGGGGUUGAGUGUUUUUAUCUUUUGGGUUUUUGUUUUUUUUAAAUUCCGAUGGAAUUUAAGGAUGUUACACCCAUAACCCAAUCUAUCUAAGCCAUGUGGGUUUUAUGACAUGAUUUUGCACACAGUGGCCAUCUGGAGGAACAAUAGGUGGCAUUAGAGCUGGAAUGACUAGAAACGGCUGCACUUGCAAAAUGAAUGGUGAGGAGUGGGCCAGGGUGUGUGUAUUCAACACAAGAAAGAAUGUCAUUAGGACACUUACCUAAAAUGUGUUACAGUGCUAGGAUUAGUCACAGACGGUAAGAACAUUGUCCCAAGUCUUGUGUCUGUAUUUCCAAGCCAAUCCUUAUGGCAAACCUAGUAAAUAAAGUGUAACCAUGUAGGGAGAAUUGCUUUUUG
rnacentral:lncRNA from 1 species